rnacentral:rRNA from 1 species
GUGGCGAACGGGUGAGUAACGCGUAAGAACCUGCCCUUGGGAGGGGAACAACAACUGGAAACGGUUGCUAAUACCCCGUAGGCUGAGGAGCAAAAGGAGAAAUCCGCCCAAGGAGGGGCUCGCGUCUGAUUAGCUAGUUGGUGAGGCAAUAGCUUACCAAGGCGAUGAUCAGUAGCUGGUCCGAGAGGAUGAUCAGCCACACUGGGACUGAGACACGGCCCAGACUCCUACGGGAGGCAGCAGUGGGGAAUUUUCCGCAAUGGGCGAAGGCCUGACGGAGCAAUGCCGCGUGGAGGUGGAAGGCCUACGGGUCGUCAACUUCUUUUCUCGGAGAAGAAACAAUGACGGUAUCUGAGGAAUAAGCAUCGGCUAACUCUGUGCCAGCAGCCGCGGUAAU